rnacentral:rRNA from 1 species
AUGAAACACUCCUACGGGAGGCAGCAGUGGGGAAUCUUAGACAAUGUGGGAAACCCUGAUCUAGCCAUGCCGCGUGAUCGAUGAAGGCCUUAGGGUUGUAAAGAUCUUUCAGAUGGGAAGAUAAUGACGGUACCAUCAGAAGAAGCCCCGGCUAACUCCGUGCCAGCAGCCGCGGUAAUACGGAGGGGGCUAGCGUUAUUCGGAAUUACUGGGCGUGAAGCGCACGUAGGCGGACUGAAAAGUCAGAGGUGAAAUCCCAGGGCUCAACCUUGGAACUGCCUUUGAAACUCUCAGUCUUGAGGUCGAGAGAGGUGAGUGGAAUUCCGAGUGUAGAGGUGAAAUUCGUAGAUAUUCGGAGGAACACCAGUGGCGAAGGCGGCUCACUGGCUCGAUACUGACGCUGAGGUGCGAAAGCGUGGGGAGCAAACAGGAUUAGAAACCCUGGUAGUCCGAAGUUC